rnacentral:rRNA from 1 species
GCGAACGCUGGCGGCAGGCUUAACACAUGCAAGUCGAGCGGGCAUAGCAAUAUGUCAGCGGCAGACGGGUGAGUAACGCGUGGGAACGUACCUUUUGGUUCGGAACAACUGAGGGAAACUUCAGCUAAUACCGGAUAAGCCCUUACGGGGAAAGAUUUAUCGCCGAAAGAUCGGCCCGCGUCUGAUUAGCUAGUUGGUGAGGUAAUGGCUCACCAAGGCGACGAUCAGUAGCUGGUCUGAGAGGAUGAUCAGCCACAUUGGGACUGAGACACGGCCCAAACUCCUACGGGAGGCAGCAGUGGGGAAUAUUGGACAAUGGGCGCAAGCCUGAUCCAGCCAUGCCGCGUGAGUGAUGAAGGCCCUAGGGUUGUAAAGCUCUUUUGUGCGGGAAGAUAAUGACGGUACCGCAAGAAUAAGCCCCGGCUAACUUCGU